GGACUACAGGGGUAUCUAAUCCUGUUUGCUCCCCACGCUUUCGUGCAUGAGCGUCAGUAUCGACCCAGGGGGCUGCCUUCGCCAUCGGUAUUCCUCCUGAUAUCUACGCAUUUCACUGCUACACCAGGAAUUCUACCCCCCUCUGCCGUACUCCAGCCUUGCAGUCCCAAAUGCAGUUCCCAGGUUAAGCCCGGGGAUUUCACAUCUGGCUUACAAAACCGCCUGCGCACGCUUUACGCCCAGUAAUUCCGAUUAACGCUCGCACCCUACGUAUUACCGCGGCUGCUGGCAC
rnacentral:rRNA from 2 species